AAAAGAAAAAGGUGCGAUCGCAGAUAAGAGAGAGAAAGAGCGCCGUGUGGUUCUACAAAACUGUUUGAUUCAUAAGUUCAGGGAUUCUAUUGCAAAUUGAAAAUCUCGCCGGCGAAUCUUUCUUUUGAUAUCGCCGGGGAGUUGACCGGUGGUUUUGAUCGGAAAAAAGCUGGAGAUUUUCUGUCGGAGGUGAACAGAAGUAACUAAUAUAAGGAUGGUGAAUUCAAUGGUGGAAAGAGCAACGAGCGAUAUGCUCAUAGGUCCUGAUUGGGCUAUGAAUCUCGAGAUCUGCGAUAUUUGCAAUCACGAUCCCGCGCAAGCCAAAGAUGUCGUGAAGGGAAUAAAAAGACGUCUUGGUAGUAAGAAUCCCAAAGUUCAACUUCUUGCUCUGACACUGUUGGAAACAAUUGUCAAGAAUUGUGGGGAUAUUGUCCAUAUGCAUGUUGCUGAGAAAGAUCUUCUUCAUGAGAUGGUGAAAAUUGUAAAAAAGAAGCAACCUGACUUGCAUGUCAAGGAAAAAGUACUAAUUUUGAUAGACACGUGGCAAGAA
rnacentral:misc_RNA from 1 species